UGGUGAUCCCCUGUGUUCCUGCUUUCAAACAAAACCCUGGAAAAUUGGAAGGACUGUGCCGUAUGUAAAUAAGAAUCUCUUCAACCUUAUCCUGCAUUGGGUGGAUACUUUCACCAUCAAUUUGCUGAUCCAGAAAUAACAGACAUGGCUACAGCUGUAUCAUCGAUGGAAGUAAGUUGAGAAUCCCCGACAUUCCUGACAACUGUGGACGCUGAAAUUGUACCUUCAGUCCUGUUACUCUCAUCUUCCGGACGCUGUUUUUCUUGCUCUCUGACUGAGUACAAAUCUUGAUCUUUCUGCUCGAUAAUGUCAAUUUCUGUUUCCAUAUAUAUCAUAUGUGCAUAUGAGGACUUCCAGACGCCUGAACUAGCUUUAAAUCUACAAUAGCCUCAAUGUGAUACACGGGUGCAACCUGCAGCUUUAGUACAAUGUAGAACAUUACUGUUUCCCUACUCCUGCUUGUUGUCUGGAUAUGACUUCCCACAGGCAUAGCACUUUGACUGAAAAUGGGGACACUUAAAUGGCUGGUGGCUACCAUGGCAACAGUAGUGUCUAAAUUUCUGAUUCUGACACUUUGAACUUGGCUGCCAUGGCCUGGGUCUUGCCGAAAUCCAGUGGACUCAUCCCCUGAUGAGUUCGAAUAGAACUCGCUUACAAUUUGCAACUCUCACUAUAUGCCAUUUCCUUGGCUGUGGCCUCAUUGCAGGCCUCCUUCCAUGUCAGCUUAAAAGCUUGGUUUGGAUUUUAUCAUUCUUUAAGCCUCUGUGUUUCUAAGGUUGAUUUCUAAGUUCAUGCCAAACCCACAGUAACGACAGAGUUUCUUUAACUCAAGAAUAUAAUCUGCAACAGUCUCACUUGGCAACUGCUUCCUUUCCCAGAAUGAAACUCUUAAAGCAAUUUCAUUUUGAGUCGUGCUAUAAUACGAGUCCAGAAUCUCAUCAAUUUCAGAUUAGUCCAUAAUACUGGGGUCUCGAGGGCAAUCUUGGUUAGACACCACCUCAAAAGCAUCUGGCCCAAUCAUGGUGAAGAAAACAUUUUUUAUCCUCAUCUCCUAUUUUAUUCACUUUUAGCCAAAUGUGUAACCUUCAUUCCUAAUUACACCAGGCCUCUUUGUUAGGGUUGAACUCCCCCAAUGUCCCUAGAUAUGCCUCCAGUGCCAUUUUUUCAAUGACUUACUGUACUAACUCACUGUAUACCUG